UACGUAGGGUGCAAGCGUUAAUCGGAAUUACUGGGCGUAAAGCGUGCGCAGGCGGUUUUGUAAGUCUGUCGUGAAAGCCCCGAGCUUAACUUGGGAAUUGCGCUCGAAACUACGUGGCUGGAGUGUGGCAGAGGAAGGUGGAAUUCCACGUGUAGCGGUGAAAUGCGUAGAGAUGUGGAGGAACACCGAUGGCGAAGGCAGCCUUCUGGGCCAACACUGACGCUCAUGCACGAAAGCGUGGGGAGCAAACAGG
rnacentral:rRNA from 1 species